GAUCUAAGAGCAGGUGGAGGAGUGGGAUUGAUUGGGUGUGGUGAGGGUGCAGUGGACUGAUGGUGAUGCUGAUGCUGAUGCAUCAUGAUCAUAACCAUCGAUCAUUUCCGUAUGUGCAGAAGCACUGUGUGUGUGUGUGUGUGUGUGUGUGUGAGAGAGAGAGAGAGAGAGAGAGAGAGAGAGAGAGAGAGAGAGAGAGAGAGAGAGAGAGAGAGAGAGAGAGAGAGAGUAGAGAGAGAGAGAGAGAGUUGAAUUAGGGUUUAUGUAGUUGGAAAGAUGAAUCUUGUAGCUGGAGAAUUCUGGAAAUGGGAAAUUGUUGAGAUUUGUUAAAGGAAAAUUUGAGAGGUUUUUGGCUGCAGAAAACUUGAAAUGGAGUUGAAGCGCUGAUAGUGGUGAAGAAGACGAAACUGUUCCUCUUUUGAGUUCUUUUUUGUUUCCAUUCGUAUUGCAUUUGGGACCCAACUAAUAUCCUAUUUGGCCAAGGUUCUUCCAUCCUAAAAUACUUUUUU
rnacentral:lncRNA from 1 species